UUGGAGUCCUUGCUCAACAGGGAUUUUUCGUUCGACUGGGGUUCAAUUAGGACAGUGAUUCCACCAGCACCAGCUCAACCCCAUCUUUACGAGAGACCGGGAACUGAUGCCAAUUUUGACGACGGUGUGGACACAACAGAUCGACCUCAUCUCUACGAGAGAUCAGGAACUGAUGCCAGUGUCGAUAACGGGGUGGAGAAAAGAAGUUCCAUUCGAUCACAACGGCGCCGGCGAAGAACGAACCCGAUGGCUGUACGACGCUCUGACAGAGUCAAAUUGAAAACAAAACGCUGCACAAACUACGAAUGAUGAUGGGAAAAGUUUGAAGAGGUUGACGGUAUCCUAAAGACUCUCAAGAAUUUGAAGUAUAAUUUAGUAAUUCAGAGUAUGAAUAUCAGACGCGACACAAUAAGGAAAUUUUUUUUAUGAUUUUAAAGUUUUUCAAUGUAAAUUUAAAAAAAAAAAGAAAAAAUACAGAGAUGAG